rnacentral:misc_RNA from 1 species
GAUGAAGAACGCAGCGAAAUGCGAUAAGUAGUGUGAAUUGCAGAAUUCAGUGAAUCAUCGAAUCUUUGAACGCACAUUGCGCCCGCCAGUAUUCUGGCGGGCAUGCCUGUUCGAGCGUCAUUACAACCCUCAGGCCCCCGGGCCUGGCGUUGGGGAUCGGCGGAGCCCCCCGUGGGCACACGCCGUCCCCCAAAUGCAGUGGCGGUCCCGCCGCAGCUUCCAUCGCGUAGUAGCUAACACCUCGCGACUGGAGAGCGGCGCGGCCACGCCGUAAAACACCCAACUCUUCUGAAGUUGACCUCGAAUCAGGUAGGAAUACCCGCUGAACUUAAGCAUAUCAAUAAGCGGAGG